CACAAAUCACGAGAUCGUGACCUGAGCCAAAGUUGGACGCUUAACUGAGUGAGCCACCCAAGAGAAUUGCACAAGGACGUCUCAGAAGGCUCCAGCCAGACAACCGUAAUCAUCCUGACGUACCUGGAUUCCUACCGCUUUUGCCUCCAACAGCACAUUUGGAAUAUUUUAUAAAUCUGCCCCAGAGACAAAGAGGAAGCAUUUUGUUGUGAAAAUCUGGCUUUUUGUGAUUGGACCAGAAACAUGGCACACACAUUUAAUUCAAGAAACUAGUAUCGUCUGGUAAAACAUCUCUUAUUUAGUAAAGAUUCAGCGUUUUUACAAAAAAA